UACGGAGGGUGCAAGCGUUAUCCGGAUUUACUGGGUUUAAAGGGUGCGUAGGCGGGUUGUUAAGUCAGUGGUGAAAGAUUCGAGCUUAACUCGGAAACUGCCAUUGAUACUGAUGACCUUGAGUACAGUUGAGGUAGGCGGAAUAUUACAUGUAGCGGUGAAAUGCUUAGAUAUGUAAUAGAACACCGAUUGCGAAGGCAGCUUGCUAAACUGUUAUUGACGCUGAGGCACGAAAGCGUGGGGAUCAAACAGG
rnacentral:rRNA from 1 species